AUGGCGGCGGCAGUGCAGGUCUGGUUCGUCUCCCUGGCCGGAUUAGGCGCCAUGUACCUGUCCGCUGCCUGCCUCCGUCUCCUUGCCCACCUCGCCCUCUGCCUCCGCCGGCCCAUCAACCUCCGCCGCCACUACGGCUCGUGGGCGGUCGUUACCGGCCCAACCACGGGGCUAGGCCGAUCCAUGGCCAUGGAGCUCGCCCGCCGUGGCAUCAGCCUCGUCCUCCUCGACCUCGACGCGGCCAACCUGCAAUACGUCUCGGCUGCCCUCCACGAGGCCCACCCCGGGGUGGAGACCAAGACCGUGGUAUUCGACCUCUCUCUCGUCGGCACCGCCGCCGGCGACGAGGCGAUGGGGCGGCUCAAAGAGGCCACAGAGGGGCUGGACGUGGGGCUACUGGUGAACAACGCCGCCGUGAAUCGGCCGGGCGCGCUGUACGUCCACGAGGCGGACGUGGAGCGGCUGGCGAGGAUGGUGCUGGUGAACGUGAUGGCGCUCACAGAGGUGACGGCGGCAGUGCUGCCGGGGAUGCUGGAGCGGGGGAGGGGCGCCAUUGUCAACGUUGGGUCCGGGUCCACGGUGGCCGUGCCCUCCUUCCCGCUCUACACCGUCUACAGCGCCACAAAACGGUACGUGCAGCACCUGACGCGGUGCCUCAGCGUGGAGUACAAGCACAGGGGCAUCGACGUGCAGUGCCAGGUCCCGUUCUACGUGCACACCGGCAUGCUGUCGCCGGCAAUAAAGGCCACCAUGACGUUCCCGGCGUUCGUGGCGACCGCCGACGCGUACGCCCGGGACGCGGCGCGGUGGAUCGGCCACGGUGUGCUCUGUGUGCCCGACGCGUCCCAGCAGCUGCAGUGGUUCCUCGCCGGCCUUGUCCCCGACGCAGUUCACGACUGGUACCGCCUCCGGCAGCAUCUCAAGCACAGGGCCAUCCUCCGGCCGAAGCUCGCGUGA
rnacentral:rRNA from 1 species